rnacentral:lncRNA from 1 species
UGGGUUCUUUCCUCCGCCUUCUUUGCUUCUAUCGGCGGUGAUUUGUUGCAACCGCACUUCCGGCCGUGUUGCAGGGCGAAAUGUGGUGGUAAGUUCGGUCCCGGUCUCUUCCGAUGAUGAAAUGUUGGUUUUGAAGCGGUUGGUUGCCGACUGCAAAAUCUGUAGUCGGGCAGCCUCCCUUCUCACUUUUGAGAACGCGGAUUUGACUGAGGGAACGGGAACUUUCUUGAGAAUGUCCCGACAAAGUUUGUCGUAUCUCCCAUCUAAUCCAGGGAGGAACUGAAAUAAUCGGUGAUUUCCGAUCAGUUUUCGGCGCUUAUUGGUCCCUUCUUCAUUGCAGUUGAUUGGAUUUGGGUCUCUUAGACCCAUUAUGUGGAUUCUGUUUGGAUUUGGGUUAUUUGAAUCUGUUUGGUUUAUGGUUUCAAUUUCUCCUGACAUUUUUUUUCAGGAAAUGAAGAACAGGGGCUGCCUUGAUUUGGUGAAUUGGCUAAGAAAGGUUUUGGUUUUGGAUUAUGAACGAUGAUGAGUCGUUUCUGAGUUCCUAGGGUUGAACCUGCUCUGAUACCAUGUUAAAACAUGGAAUUAUCAUAAUGCAUAGAGAAAGAUAAAGAGAAGCUAAAGAUUGUAAUUGUAUUUCUUGUUAUUGCUUGCUA